CCUACGGGAGGCAGCAGUGAGGAAUAUUGGUCAAUGGACGAGAGUCUGAACCAGCCAAGUAGCGUGAAGGAUGACUGCCCUAUGGGUUGUAAACUUCUUUUAUAUGGGAAUAAAACGCUCCACGUGUGGGAUUUUGUAUGUACCAUAUGAAUAAGGAUCGGCUAACUCCGUGCCAGCAGCCGCGGUAAUACGGAGGAUCCGAGCGUUAUCCGGAUUUAUUGGGUUUAAAGGGAGCGUAGGUGGGUUGUUAAGUCAGUUGUGAAAGUUUGCGGCUCAACCGUAAAAUUGCAGUUGAUACUGGCAGUCUUGAGUACAGUAGAGGUAGGCGGAAUUCGUGGUGUAGCGGUGAAAUGCUUAGAUAUCACGAAGAACUCCGAUUGCGAAGGCAGUUCACUGGACUGCAACUGACACUGAGGCUCGAAAGUGUGGGUAUCAAACAGGAUUAGAUACCCCAGUAGUC
rnacentral:rRNA from 1 species